ACAUUGGUGGUUUAGUGGUAGAAUUCUCAUUUGCCAUGUGGGGGACCGGGGUCCGUUUCCUUGCAAAUGCA